AUCCCAUGAUGAGGACACUCGAGUAUGUAGUCUUGAAAGUGCUUCCAAGCUUCUGGGACUGUCUCAUCAUGUUGUUGCUGAAAACUCAAUAUCUUCCACACAGAGCAC
rnacentral:snoRNA from 1 species